GGCACAAACUUGAAGUAGAGUGGAUCAGUAUGGUCAGCUGAUCCUACUGAUCUACCACACUCUAAGUUUGGGCUC
rfam:Haemonchus placei strain MHpl1 genome assembly, scaffold: HPLM_scaffold0000781